rnacentral:rRNA from 1 species
UACGGAGGAUGCAAGCGUUAUCCGGAAUGAUUGGGCGUAAAGCGUCCGCAGGUGGCUAUGUAAGUCUGCUGUUAAAGAGUGAGGCUCAACCUCAUAAGAGCAGUGGAAACUACAUGGCUAGAGUGCGUUCGGGGCAGAGGGAAUUCCUGGUGUAGCGGUGAAAUGCGUAGAGAUCAGGAAGAACACCGGUGGCGAAAGCGCUCUGCUAGGCCGCAACUGACACUCAUGGACGAAAGCUAGGGGAGCGAACAGG